rnacentral:misc_RNA from 1 species
CCGAGUUAUACAACUCCCAAACCCACUGUGAACCUUACCUCAGUUGCCUCGGCGGGAACGCCCCGGCCGCCUGCCCCCGCGCCGGCGCCGGACCCAGGCGCCCGCCGCAGGGACCCCAAACUCUCUUGCAUUACGCCCAGCGGGCGGAAUUUCUUCUCUGAGUUGCACAAGCAAAAACAAAUGAAUCA